AGGACGAACGCUGGCGGCGUGCCUAACACAUGCAAGUGGAGCGACGAACCAGGCUUCGGCCUGGGGCAAAGCCGCGAACGGGUGAGUAACACGUGGGUAACCUGCCCCGAUGAUUGGGACAACCCGAGGAAACUCGGGCUAAUACCAAAUGUGACCUCCGACCGUAAGGUUGAUGGGGAAAGGAAGCUUCGGCCUCCGCAUUGGGAUGGGCCCGCGGCCCAUUAGCUUGUUGGUGAGGUAACGGCUCACCAAGGCGACGAUGGGUAGCUGGUCUGAGAGGACGAUCAGCCACACUGGGACUGAGACACUGCCCAGACUCCUACGGGGGGCUGCAGUAACGAAUCUUCCGCAAUGCACGAAAGUGUGACGGAGCGACGCCGCGUGGAGGACGAAGUUCUUCGGAAUGUAAACUCCUGUCAGGGGAAGAAAGUUCUGAUCUACCCAGAGGAAGAGGCGGCUAACUCUGUGCCAGCAGCCGC
rnacentral:rRNA from 1 species